AUUGAACGCUGGCGGCAGGCCUAACACAUGCAAGUCGAGCGAGAGGCGGACGGGUGAGUAACGUCUGGGAAACUUCCUGAUUGAGGGGGGGAAAUACUGGAAAAGGUAGCUAAUACCGCAUAUCAUAUCAUAUGCCCAGAUGGGAUUAGCUAGUAGGUGGGGUAUCGGCUAACCUGGGCGACGAUCCCUAGCUGGUCUGAGAGGCUGACCAGCCACACUGGAACUGAGACACGGUCCAGACUCCUACGGGAGGCAUCAGUGGGGAAUAUUGCACAUUGGGCGCAAGCCUGAUGCAGCCAUGCCGCGUGUGUGAAGAAGGCCUUCGGGUUGUAAAGCACUUUCAGCGGGGAGGCGUUACCCGCAGAAGAAGCACCGGCUAACUCCGUGCCAGCCGCCGCGGUAAUAC
rnacentral:rRNA from 1 species